GGCUUGGUGGUGUAAUAGUAGCAUGCCUGCUUUGCAUAGGCAGGUGAGUGGUUUUGCAGGAGAGCCUUGUUCGAUUCAAGAUCAGGCCA